GUAACUUCUCUUAUCUUAGGAAUGUGGACAUCUCUGUGAAGCCCAGCUCACAGCCAGAGACCUUGUUUGCACAUUUCUACAAACUACUAUACUGGAUAUGUUUGUGAAAACUAGUAAGGGGGGUGUCCAGCGCCUGGAGUGCUGCCCCAGACAGCAGUCAAGUAAAACAGGGCAACAAGAAAAUAGGAAGUUUAUCUACAUUGAACUUUUUUGCAGAGACUCUGUUGCUGACAGUCCUAAAAUCAGUCCUGGUGAAGAUUUCUGGAGAAGCCCAGUUAAGACUUUUCUGUGGAGAAAGGGUGUGCCACUUCAAGCACACACAAACUACAAAGGAGAAGCACCCAGCAAAUGAGCCCCAGAGUGAGGGGGAAAGACAGGAGGAGAGCUGAGAGGGUGGUCUCCCAAGCUAAUGAAAAGAGCUCCAGAAAGGAGGGAGAUCAAUGCUGAGAUCCUAGAAGAAACCCCCAGUCACUGUGGGUUUUUAUGAAAAUGAGGAGGGGAAAGAAAUUCUAAUCAGAGAGAGUUCAACAAGAAACAGAUAAUAAGAAAAUGGAGGUGGCACAUAAAGCAAGCUUCAAGGGUAAGUGGAAAAGGACUUGAGGAGGAGGGUACAGGAUCCAGAAAGGUCUUUUUGUUAGGUCUUUGUCUAAGGAGGACAUUAUCAUAGUAUGAUUUUAUACUGGGGGAAUAAUCCAGUAGAGGGAAAUGUGGCAAGUUCCAAUGAGGACAGGAAGGAAAGGGGGUCACUGGAGAACCAAGUCCUUUGAAAAUAAUUUACGUGCAGCACAGACUCUGCAGCAAAGCCAGAGAACCAGAACUGAAGUACCUGGAGAGCCGGUCACUCCACCUCUCAUCUUGUUUAUCUGCUUUCAACAAGGGCCUCUGUGGUCUUCCACCUCUUCAUCUCACUGAAGCCUUCCCUCAGCCUGGAGCCCCAUCAUUAGCUUCUUCCAAUCCCUUUAAUUACUGGGCCCCCUCUCACCACAGGCCUUCGCUAGCUCCCAGCAUUCAGCAAGUCUAGUUCCAACAUGUCUUCCUUGAGGAGGCUAUCAAAGUCACACCCCCCAUGAAAUGUUCCCAAGUUCCCAUGCAUUCUUUCUACUCAGCACAUCACAACCGCAACUGUAUUUUUCUUUAGCAUAAUUUGGUCAAUGUCAGCCUACCCCUCUAGAAUAGCACAGUCCAGCAGAACUUUAUGAGAUGAUGGCAGUGUCUAUGUCUGCACUGUCCAACCCAGUAACUACUAGUCACAUGUGACUAAAGAUAGCUAGUGCAAACACAGAUCUGGAGUUAUUUUAGUUAAGCUUAAUUAAUUUAAGUGUAAAUAGCCACAGGUAAGCAGGGGCUACGAUUAUUAUUUAUGCUCACCAUAGUAAGGGUUGGUCAUGUUCCCGACCCUUAUUACAGUGCACACACAUAGUAAUCACUUAGUAAAUAUUUGUUCAGAGAUCAAAUCUGUAAAAUGAAGACAUUGCAUUAAUUUAUAGAUUCUGUCUUUUUCCAGAGAAGAAAGGGAAAACGUUUUUACAUAACACAUAUUAGGUGGUACUCAGAUUUCCUAUAAAGAUGUAUUUGACCUUUAAGAAUUUGAUCUAUCUCAGAGGAAAGCUGGGAUAAUAAUGAGAACAUAGUGACGGUCCCAAUGAAAUGACAUCUGUAAUAUGCUUAGGAAAGUGCCUGGGCUAUAGCUAGUGCUCCAAGGUUGUGGUCCAUAAACUUCAGAGGUACACAGUAGAGAAGCACAUAAUGGUAAGGGAAAAUUGGAGAAGGCUUCUUAAAGCAAGUGAUAUUUGAACCAUAUCUGGAAGAGUAAUUAAAAUGGCAAAACUGGGAGGAAAUAAUGCCUAAGAAACUUUCAGUGGCUAGUAUGUACUGGGCUUUCCAUUUUUAAUUUAAUCCUCACAACCAUUGUUUCCCCCAUUUUACAGAUGGAAAAAAAACAGAGAUAUAAAGACAACCAGUUUCUUCCUCACAGCCACCUAGCUAAUAACUGGCAGAACUGAAUCUGACCCCCAGCCCAUGGCUCUUGCCAACAUGCUAUUCUACCUCCCGAGCAGAACUUCUCCGGGCAGAGGGGGCAAUAUGUACAGACACACAGGGUGUGUCUGCCCGGGGACUCAGGAGGAUAAAAGGAGACGAAACAAUACAGACACGCUGGAUUUAGCCUGGGGUUCACAAGGCAUGGGUUGUGUCUGACUCUUUCACAUAUAUUCUCAACGAAUCCUCAGAAUAAUGCAGGUAUUACACCCAUAUUGUGAUAUUAGAAACUGAGAUUCCAAAAAGCUAAGGAUCCUUCCAAAGCAGAUGAGUUCUGGAGUUGGGAUUAAAAAUCCAGGGGUGCCAAUCUCCAAACCCAUUGUCUGUCACACAGUUAAACAACCUACAGGGAGGUGUAGACUAAAAAGAGCAACAUGCUGUAGGAAAAAAAAAAAAAAAGCAAUCACUCUCUUCAAGUACCAGGAAGAGUCACUCACCAAACACCCACCUGAAAACCUUGAAAUCCUGCCUGGAGGAUCAUGACCCUGUGGAGGCUUCUCUCAUUGAACCCAGAAUUCAUCACUCCUUUUUCUUAUAUCAAGCUAAAUUAAAGCCUUCUGUUUACAUCUCCACUGCUCUUAGAACUUUCACUUAUUGAGCACCUCCAUGCCUGCGGCUUCACAUGUUCUCAUUGAUCCUCUCCCAAACCCCUUGUGAUUGUACCAUCAGCUCCAUUAACAAAUGAGUAACCCCAGGAUAAACGACUAGCCCCAGUCUCACAUCUGGCCAGGAUUUACCUUUGCACUGUCUUCUCUCAACCACAUAUAAUUUACUGACGGGCUGGUCUCUAUUUCCCUGGUACCUGGCACAGUGCCUUCCCCAGUAAAGAUUCACUCGAGAUUUGAAUCCAUGUGGUCCUUCAGCAGGCUUCUGAAUAUUCAUGAAGCAGAGCAGAGAAGAAAGCCUAUGGUGUUGUGGUGAGCCAGAGCUGAAUGGGCUUCCUCCCGGAAGCCCAGAUUUGUAGCACUCCAGUCUCUGUGGUAUAAACACUCCCAACCUUGGCUGAUUUCAAGCUAUCAUCUACUUGCAAAAUUCCUGAAUGUUUAAUAAUGCCAGUUCCAGCACACUGCCCCAAAUCUCAAGGUUGCAUAGCCUGGCCUUUCUGUUGGCAAGCUUCUGCCACCUCUCCAUGCCUUGGUUUACUCAUCUGUCAAGUGGUGAUAAAUAUAGUAUCUAUACCUCGUGUGAUAGUUGUGGAAAUUGGAUGAGUAAAAAGCUGUGAAGGCUAAGAGUGUAAAGGAUUUGUGCUAUUCACAUCACCAUGUCCUUCUGCGUGGUAUAAGUCCAUGAAGGCUUAGUGCAAUUACGAUGCUGGAUUUUCCCCUUUUAUAAGUUAGUCAUCCACAGCAACUGUCAACAAUGUGUUACACUAGCACUGCUGGAAACCUAACUUGAAGGAGAGCAUUCAUUUUCCUUCUAAUUGCCAGUCCAUAGCUAGCCAUGCCAUUUUCCACAGCACAUGUAUUCUCACACUUUGAGCUUUAUCUUUUCCUGGGAAAAGAAAAAUAUGAUUUUCUUAAACAACUUGCUAAAAGAAGUGGAAGGAAUAUGAGGAAUUUAUAAAUGAGUAGAGGCACUUCGUAUUAUGUGUACAUAGGUACAAAAUGCACAUACACUAUUGCAUGCACAAAUAUUUCCCUUCUGAUGCAUGGUGAGGCAUGCCUGUAAUCCCAGCAGCUCAGGAGGAAGAGGCAGGAAGAUCAUGAGUUCAAAGCCAGCCUCAGCAACUUAGUGAGUCUUCUAAGCAACUCAGUGAGACACUGUCUCUAAAUAAAAUACAAAACAGACCUGGGGAUAUGGCUUGGUGGUUAAGCACCCCCUGGGUUCACCCCCAAUACCCAAAAAAGAAGAAAGAAAUAUUCCCCCUUUGCACUCCAUUUGUCUUACUUAGGUUUCUCGGUGUCCAUUUCAAUUCCAGAGGAAGGGAAAGUUUUUUCAUAGGAUGCCCUUGGACAGAAAUGCCUCAGGAGGUGCAGGCUCCAUCCCAGUCAUCUCUCAGAUGGUGUGUCUUAUAAUUCUGGAGACCAGCCACCCUCAACCUCAGUCAAGAGGUUGUAUAAGUAUUAAUUAAUAAUGGUAAACAGCUUUCAGAUAUGAAAGAACUAUAACAUAGCUUAUUAUUAACCUCUAAAUUCUUAAAUGUUAUUAGGUAGUUGAUAUUAAGAGGAACAUCCCACAGUAAUUUCUCCCAGAGCUGAAUGAAACUAGCCAAUUGAUGACUGUAGGUCAUUGGUGGUGGGCUGGGGACACCUCCUGGAGCUGAGCCUGGCACAGUCCUGUAUCCUCUGGUUGGUAGAUAAUACUGAAUAAGAUAGGAUAGUUAGUAGGUCCCAAUGAAGACUUUUUUUUUUUCUUUUUAAUGUAAAGGCCACUCCAUGAGGUUAACCAUUAGAAACAUUCCAACCAACUCCUCUGUCCUGGGGUUAUGGGACUAGGGAAGCAGAACACACCUGAGUAGUAAAGGCUACAGACUCAAAGGCUAACCAAUAUCCAAUACCCAUUUAGUAUGGGUUUUUGUUUAAUGCCCCUAACUACAAGCUAUAUAAGCCUCUAGACUAGUACAUUUAAGUAGUAACCUGCUCCCAGGUCCCCUCGUACCUUGCAAGAGUUCUAUCUUUUUCCUUCUCACUUCAUAAAUCCUAUUUCUUUCACUCUUACUUUCCAUUGUGGCCCAUGGAUUUCAUUCUUCAAAUUUAUGAGACAAGAACCCAGAAAGUAAUUGUCAGUGAGCAUUUAGAUCCAACAUUAGUAGCUGCAACACACCACUGGAUGGAAGUGGAGAAGGAUCCGGGUUUUCUUGCAGCUAUCUUUGGAGCUGACACUAGCAAGUAUCUCCUGCUGUAAUGAGCUGCUAACAUUAAAAUGGGAUUUAACUGCAGAGGCCUGCAGCCUACAUGGACCUCACCUUCCAGCAGAAGCAGAGAGUUGAGCUUCAUUUCAGACUCCAAUUUCAAUACUCUAGGCCCUGGAUUGAUCUGAGGGAACUAUAUCUCACUUAGAUCUAUUAAGACUAAUUUUUCUAUUAAAGACAGAAGAGAGCUUUGUAGUUUUCUGGGUUGGGGAUAUAGCUCAGUGGUAUAAUGCUUGCCUAGCAUGUGAAGCUUAGGGUUUGAUUCCCAGUAUCAUGUAAUUUUCCACCAUAUACUUCUGAAUUCUUUCAUCCACAGAUUUUAAAUGUUUAUUUAAUCUCUCAAUAAUCUCAGGAACUCUCUGAGACUGUAUUGUAAUGAAGGAGGUUGGACUACCUCCUGCUGUCCUUGAUCCGGUUCAAGGUUAACCAUUUAAAUGGGUUUCUUUUUGCUCAGAAGUAUAACAUACAUGAGGCUUCUAGUUCAGCAUUUUUUAGUCAUUGAAUCUUCUAAAAAAGUCAAGUAUUUCCCAUCUCAUUAUCAUCUGUGGUCUUUAUAUAGACUAUAUUAUGGUUCCUCUAUACUUAAGAUUUUUUUUAAAUAAUUUCUUGAGACAGAGGUCUUGCUAUGGAGCCUGGAUAGCCUCAAACUCCUGCUCAAGUGACCCACAGCAGCCUCUUGAGUACCUGCGUCUGUAGAUGCACACCAUUCCCCCUGGCUUAUACUUAUGGUUUAAAUUAGAGACACAUGUAAUGUCUAAUUGAAAUUAUGGUGAUAAUUUUUCAGAUGAACCAAUCUCAGCUGUUCCACAGGAAAAACAAAAUGUGAUUGGCAUCACAAACUAAACUCUAGGCCAUUGAUUUCCUAAAAUAAAGAAAUGAAGAUUUCAUUUCCAAGUCUGCUUUCAGCAUGUGUGUGUAUGUGUGUGUGUUUACAUAUUCAGAUACAUACACACACACACACACACACACACACACACACAGAGCUGUGAAUGAACUGUGGGCGUGUCUAAGCCAUCUCUAAGUGGAGGUGCAGCCUUCAGAGAACUCUUGGUGUGAUCUCACCAAUCUGAGACUGCUUUGUUGCCUUAGCAAAUGUCCUGCUCAAAAAGAAUUCUGUGAUAUCACAGAAUUUAUUGGUUCAGACAGCCCUAGGUUCAAAUGCAACUCCCCAGAAGUGGAGAGAGACACCAGUGCCCAACUAUCCGGGUUGCGUCAGCUGCCUGGAGGAGGAAGAAUGACUGCACAAGUGGGAAAGAAAGAAAGAAGGAAGAAAUGAAGGAAGGAAGGGGAAAAGAAGGGAAGGGAAGGAAGGAAGAGAGAGAAACAACUUGUCUUUCAGAAGAAUCUCAUCUUCGGGAUGCAAAGAAGAUCUGGGGCUCUUGUUCACAGACUUUCCUAGAGUUCUCUUAUUUGUUCCCAAGCUGGAAGUUUUACUCAUAGAUUAAACCUUCCUAAACCUGCAUCUCCAGCUCACCCAUAUCUACACAGUCACUGGCCUAUAUACCCACCUUGGAUGAUCACAGAUGCUAUCCAAACCAAAAUCAUUACCCUCUGUAAUCUAAUUCUGUUUCCUUUCUCCAUGAAUAAUAGCUACCGUCAUCUACCCUUCUUCAUGACAGAAAUCUGAGCAGCACCUUGAUUUCUCCCUCUCCUUCAUUACACGCUAGAUUGUGAUUGUCCAUCUCCCCAUUAAAACUUUCUCCUAAGGAGGAAUCAGAUCUUA